AAGUUUUAAAUUUGAGAAACGAUCAGCUUGAAGGGUCGAUCCCUCGUGCUCUAUGCAACCUUAGUAUGCUCUACAUACUUGAUCUCUCUGGAAAUUACUUCGCCCGUAACAUUCCUGUAGAGCUAGGAAGGCUUAACGGAAUUAUCCUAACACCUGCCUCUUCACACAUUCUAUCUACCUGUUAAUAACUAUUCUUUGAUGUGGGAAGGUCUCAAUCUGCGUAAUAUGAUUGCGCGUUGGAUGGAUCUAACUGAUACUAUUGUGAAGUGGAAGGGCUCCCUUCGAAGAUUAGAACAAAAGAACCUCGAUAUCUAUGCCUACUUAGAUUCAUCCAACAACCAAUUGUCCGGAAAAAUACCCGCAGCUUUAGAUGAUCUCCAAUAUCUGAAAUUGUUCAAUCUUUCGUAUAAUAAGCUCGAAGGAGAGAUCCCUGCAAGCUUUGGAAGGUUAAUAAAGCAGGAGAGUUUGGAUUUGUCACAUAACAGGCUCAAUGGUAGCAUACCUGAAGCAUUUGUCAAUCUCAACGAAUUGGCUACACUUGAUGUGAGUAACAACGAGCUCACGGGUCAGAUUCCCAUAGGCCGCCAGAUGUCCACGAUGGCAAACUCAAGCUCUUAUGCUAAUAACAGUGGCUUGUGCGGCUUCGAGAU
rnacentral:lncRNA from 1 species